CUAUAUUCUGCUGCCACACUUACUUCACAAACAUAUUUCUGCAGUUUCUUUUUUCUUUUCUUUAUCCAGAUAGCCAACUUGUUUUGUACUUUGAUACCUUAGAUGCAAUGCUUCUGGAAUUGGAGAAAGAAAAGAGCCCCAGAGUCUUUCUCCCUGGCUUCUGAUCUGCAUAAUCCCAGAGGAGCAUUUGAAGAUACCCGGAAGAGGUGAAGCAGGAGGAAUUUUUGAAUUUUAUUUUAUUAUUAUUAUUUUUUAAUGACAAGUGCAUUUACAGAACUGAGAUGAGCAGGGUUUUCCUGUUCCGAGAACACCAAGCUUGUCUGGGCCAUUCUUCCUGGAAGAACUCCCUGAUUGGUGGCAGAACCCUGAAAAGGGAUCAAGUAAACAGAAUCACAGGUUCCCCUUAACACAUAUCCGUGCCUGAGGGACAAACAGUAGUGAGUGAGCGGCUGCAUCUCAAAUGACCACAUGGAUGGUGACAGAAGUUACCACGGCAGAAAUGUGUGGACCACCCCUAGCAUUCCCAAAUAUCCCAUAAUAUUGCUAAGCCUUAGAGAGAGAGUGUGUAUUGUUUUUUUUUUUUAAUACUGCUGUGAUAAAACACCAUGACCGAAGCAACUUACAGAAGAAAGGCUUUAUUCGGGCUCACGGUUCCAGAGGGAUAUGUCUUCGUUACAGUGGGGAAGCUGGGAGCAAACCACAGGCAUGAUGGGAUGAGCAGGAAGCUGAGGGCUCACAUCUUGAACAGCAAGCGUGAAGCACAGUGUGUGGAACUAGAAAUGGUCCAGGUCUUUAAACUCUAAAAGUCUGCCUCUGGUGACACACUUCCUCCAGCAAGGCCAUACCUCCUAAGCCUCCCCAAACAGUGCCACCGACUGGGGACCAAGUGUUCAAUUGCCUGAGGCUGUGGGAGACAUUUUCAUUCAAACAGGCACCAGAGAGUGCACUGCAGACUGAACUUCAGUUUCUCACCAGUUCUGCAGAAGGGAGACUGGGUGUCAGAAGUCACACUAGAGACAGAAGAUAAUGUUUAUGUACAUCUAGUUUUUGCAAUGGGGCUUGUACUCCAUGAAUGAAAAGGGGGGGCAUGGCAUCUCAGGAAAGAUCCUCUAAUAACAUGGAGUGACAGAAAGUAGGAAUUGCCUAUGAGCCUCUCUCGAUUCGUAUGUUCAAGACCCUAGGCCUCUAGAAGAGGUAGGUAGAUGUAAAGAUUCAAAAAAAGAUAGAUAGACAGAUGGUAGAUAGAUAUAUGAUAGAUAGAUAGAUAGAUAGAUAGAUGAUAGAUGGAUAGAUAAAUAGAUAGAUAGGUAGGUAGAGUGUUGUAGGCAUAGUUCGAGUAAAAGCUAAUCUGAUACAAGCAUAUGUCAGUGUUCUGGUUUGGGAGAACGUGUCUCUCCAAACUUACAUGGAGUUUGAAUUCCCAGUGUGACAAUGUUAAGAGGAGGAGCCAUUGCAGAAGUGGUCAGCUUUGAGAACUCAGUUCUCAUAAAUGGUAUUACUGUCCUUAUAGAAGGCUGGGGGAAGGGAGUCAAUUUCUUUUUGCCUUCUCAACUCCAUGAAGACACAAAAAGUACCAUCUAUGAUAAACAGGCCAUCAGUGGACAUCUACUCUGCUGGCACCAUGAUCUUGAACUUCCAAGCCUCCAGAACUUUGGAACCAGGUGAAAGGAAACAUCUGGGGAAACUUCCAAGGGACCUUCAAGGGACAGUUUCAGAAACAUGGCAUUGGUAUGGACACAGAGGAGGAGCGUUUAAUGCUGUGAUGGAUGUGUCUUAGGAGUGUCACCUACCUGUGACACUUGUGUUCAUUCACACCAGUCAAUGACUUCUUUGUGGCAAGAGGGAAGAGGUGCCAGACAUUUGGCAGAGCUCACUAGGAAGGAGUUCCAAGAACACAGGUCCCACAUGGCUAGGCUGGCACCAAAGGAGGCAGCUGUGGCCCUGACAGACUGAGGAGAUGCAGAACUCUGAGGACCACCUAACGAAUUCUUAGUCCUGGAAUGUUCAUUUGUAAGUGGCAAAUCAUGU